rnacentral:rRNA from 1 species
UACAGAGGUCCCGAGCGUUGUUCGGAUUCAUUGGGCGUAAAGGGCUCGUAGGCGGCCAACUAAGUCCGACGUGAAAUCCCCAGGCUUAACCUGGGAACUGCGUCGGAUACUGGUUGGCUUGAAUCCGGGAGAGGGAUGCGGAAUUCCAGGUGUAGCGGUGGAAAUGCGUAGAUAUCUGGAGGAACACCGGUGGCGAAGGCGGCAUCCUGGACCGGCAUUGACGCUGAACAGCGAAAGCCAGGGGAGCAAACGGG